CCUACGGGAGGCAGCAGUGAGGAAUAUUGGUCAAUGGACGCGAGUCUGAACCAGCCAAGUAGCGUGAAGGAUGACUGCCCUAUGGGUUGUAAACCUCUUUUAUAUGGGAGUAAAAUGCUCCACGAGUGGGAUUUUGUAUGUACCCUAUGAAUAAGCAUCGGCUAACUCCGUGCCAGCAGCCGCGGUAAUACGGAGGAUCCGAGCGUUAUCCGGAUUUAUUGGGGUUAAAGGGAGCGUAGGGGGAUGGUUAAGUCAGCUGUGAAAGUUUGCGGCUCAACCGUAAAAGUGCAGUUGAAACUGGUAGUGUUGAGUACAGUAGAGGUGGGCGGAAUGCGUGGUGUAGCGGUGAAAUGCUUAGAUAUCACGAAGAACUCCGAUUGCGAAGGCAGCUCACUGGACUGCAACUGACACUGAGGCUCGAAAGUGUGGGUAUCAAACAGGACUAGAGACCCUUGUAGUC
rnacentral:rRNA from 1 species